rnacentral:lncRNA from 1 species
AAUCUUCCCAUGAAAUGGAUCUUAGCAAAAUUCACAAAAGAAUGGACUCAAAAUUCUAUCGAAUAUGCAACUCAAAAAAAAAUUAUUAAAAAUAGAGAAUUGUGUAAAAAGGACAACGAAAUGCUCGCACAAUCACAUGGCAUACGUUGUCUUUGACUUUCUGUUGGGUCAAUUGACAACUCCAAAGUAACCAAAAUAGCAACUGUCCAAAUCCUCAUCUGGGAUAACUUUUAACCCAUUUUGUAUACCUGUGGAUUUUGUAUAUAUUAUUCACAUGCAAAUGCAAAUGUACCAAACUUAUUAAUAUAAUUUAAUUUUAAAAGUACCCUUAAAAAUAAGUUUAUAAAAUGCCAAAAAGUACCAUCACUAACAUGCAAUGGUCUCCUUCUCAAAAAAAAUAAAAAAAAAAAUGCAAUGGUCUCCUUAACAAGGUCUCUCGCUUCAGUAAUUUUUUGUGAUUUGUUUUUUUUUUAUUAUUAUUUAUGUCGUUCAUGUGGGUCCAAAUGGGCAUAUUGAAUAGUGUAAUAAUUACAUUUUUCGACCCAUUACCCAUAUGCAUUUUCAUGUGUCCGAAGUGACGAGUGUCAAAGUAGAUGCACCAACAUCAAAAUUUGUAAAUGGGUUUUGCCUUAUCAUGCGUAUACUCAUUUUAACUUUCCCGUAUUCCCAUAAGAGCUUGAUCAUUGAAAAUCUGAUCAUUACAUACCCAUCAAAAGGAUUCUGCAAAGUUUCCCAAUACUUUAAGCUCUGGGUAUUGGUAGGCCAGUUUGGAUAUUCUUCAUUGAUCCUCUCACUUUAAUUUUUGGUUAAUUCAAGAGGAUUUUUCAAAUUGUUAAAAGUACUUUUUAGCUCAACUCAAGCUCUUACAUAAAAUGCUUCUGCUAAAAACUGUUUUACAAAAUCACUUCCAAAUGUGUCCUAUGGAUGCGAAUCACUCACUAAAGACCCUGAGUUGACCCCCAGUUUGCUAGCUUUUCUUAUUUUAAUGAAUUUCAUAUGCAGACUGAAAUAGCAGACCAAAACGAGGGGAUCAAAGGACAGGAUUUUAAAGAAUCUACUUGUAAUUUGUGGAAAUUAAAAUAAACAGAUAAAAGUGGGAGGCAACUGAGUGGGGCACUGGGUAUUGCUUUAGCUUCUUUGACUGUUGCACUGUUGCAGCUUGUGCUUGCCCAAAAAAAAAAGAGGACCAUUCACUGGGAAUAAAAAAACAUUAAAAAUACUGAAAGAACUAACCUUAAAAGUGGCAAAACCUAACAUUCUUUUCAACAAGAUUUCAUUUCAGUUUCAGGGUAACUGUUCACCUUGAAAGAUUGUGUGUGUGUGUGUGUGAGAGAGAGAGAGAGAGAGAGGGUUUUCAGUAAAAUUAAAUAAUAGUGACACUGGUUGUGAAUACCUAUAUAGAGUCUCAUUCAUCUGACUCACUUUUCAUUAUAACAGAUAGUAGCUUUUCCACUUAGAAAGAAGAUAUGAAUGUGUAUAUUUUUGUAAAAAUUUGUCACAUGUCCUCAUCUCCACUUACAUGAGAUGAUUCAACAAGGUACUGAUUCUGUCAAUUUUCUGCUGUUCCCAUACAGAAGCAGCCAAAGCACU